CCUACGGGAGGCAGCAGUGAGGAAUAUUGCACAAUGGACGAGACUCUGAAGCAGCGACGUCGCGUGAGUGAUGAAGGAUCUAGGGAUUGAAAACUCUAUCUGCAUGGGAAAAAAUGACUGUACGUGAGUGAGUAUCUACGUCUAACAACGUGACGGCAGCCGCAGUAAUACGUAGGGGGCAAGCGUUAUACGGAUUUACUUGGUGUAAAGCGAGCGUAGGCGGCCAGACAAGUCAGAUGUGAAAGUUCAGGGCUCAACCCUGAGAGUGCUGUUGAAACUGGCAGGCUGGAGUGCAGGAGAGGUGGGCGGAAUUCGUAGUGUAGCGGUGAAAUGCUUAGAUAUUAGGAGGAACACCAGUGGCGAAGGCAGCUUACUGGACUGCAACUGACGUUGAGGCUCGAAAGCGUGGGUAGCAAACAGGAUUAGAUACCCCAGUAGUC
rnacentral:rRNA from 1 species